rnacentral:rRNA from 1 species
UACGGGGGGGGCAAGCGUUGUUCGGAAUUACUGGGCGUAAAGGGCUCGUAGGCGGCCAACUAAGUCGGACGUGAAAUCCCCAGGCUCAACCUGGGAACUGCGUCUGAUACUGGAUGGCUUGAAUCCGGGAGAGGGAUGCAGAAUUCCAGGUGUAGCGGUGAAAUGCGUAGAUAUCUGGAGGAACACCGGUGGCGAAGGCGGCGUUCUGGACUGUAACUGACACUGAUGAACGAAAGCCAGGGGAGCAAACGGG